rnacentral:rRNA from 1 species
CAGCCGCCACGGGAAUACGGAGGGGGCUAGCGUUGUUCGGAAUUACUGGGCGUAAAGCGCUCGUAGGCGGCUUUGUAAGUUAGAGGUGAAAGCCCGGAGCUCAACUCCGGAAUUGCCCUUAAGACUGCAGAGCUAGCAGGUGAGAGAGGUGAGUGGAAUUCCGAGUGUAGAGGUGAAAUUCGUAGAUAUUCGGAAGAACACCAGUGGCGAAGGCGGCUCACUGGCUCAUACUGGACGCUGAGGUGCGAAAGCGUGGGGAGCAAACAGGAUUAGAUACCCGCGUAGUCCCUGUCUCUUAUAC